rnacentral:RNase_P_RNA from 1 species
GGAGUUGACCAGACAGUCGCCGCUUCAUUGCCGUCCUCUUCGGGGAGACAGAUGGAGGGGAGGAAAGUCCGGGCUCCAUAGGGCAGGGUGCCAGGUAACGCCUGGGAGGCGCAAGCCUACGACUAGUGCAACAGAGAGCAAACCGCCGAUGGCCCGCGCAAGCGGGAUCAGGUAAGGGUGAAAGGGUGCGGUAAGAGCGCACCGCGCGGCUGGCAACAGUUCGUGGCACGGUAAACUCCACCCGGAGCAAGGCCAAAUAGGGGUUCA